rnacentral:rRNA from 1 species
CUACGGGAGGCAGCAGUGGGGAAUAUUGGACAAUGGGCGCAAGCCUGAUCCAGCAAUACCGCGUGUGUGAAGAAGGCCUGAGGGUUGUAAAGCACUUUCAAUUGGGAGGAAAACCUGUCGGUCAAUACCCGGCAGCUUGACAUACCUAGAAGAGCCCCGUCCCUC